CCGUUGACUGCUGGUGCUUCCCAUCGCUCGGGAGUUAUUGUUCAUUUUCCUCUCCUCACCCUCUCCACUCAUCCAUAAUCGGUGCUGUCGUUAGUUGAUUUUUUUACUUUUGUUCAUAAGAAGAUCAGCCAUGACUUGUUGUAGUACUUCUAUCCAGCAAGAAGUGCCUCGGUUGGAGCUCGCGCUCGAGCAGUACGUCAAGAACAGAGGCUCUAUCUGCUAAUGGGAUGGACAGAAAUGCAGUCUAAUAGUUGGCUACUACUCGUGUGACUCUUGGAGAUGAGAGGAUGAGGAUGAUAACUACAGGUGAGAGUUGAGGCUGGAGCUUUGUUACUCUUUCCGUCCAACAGCAAGGAAUUGUUAGACUUGCGCCCGUGCAGACGUGCUCAUGUGCCUCCAUGUGCGUCUCCCUAAUCAGAUCCAGGCGCCGCCCCCCUAUGCAGCAGGGGCCAGACUAUGUGCUACUCUAUGCAUAGUCUGAUCUCUAAUCAAAUGAGCUCCCUCCACUAUUUGCAGAACAUUUCUUUCAUCCUGUGAUAUAAAUCACGUGAACAAAGUCAUCAAAUGGUUGAAUCAUCCAACUAUUUCUGAAAACUUUGGGUCGCGGCUUCUGUUCAACUUUGGUUAUUCCUAGUUUGACACUUCGGUUGCUGUAAAAUUGUGUAGGAAAGACAAAGAGGACCAAGAAGGGAACCAUGAUGUUUUUAUUUUGUGUCAACUAGAUAUCUUCGUAAUGGAGCAAAAACAAUCCAUCUCGUAGCUAUCAUUUUGUAAAGGAUGUCUUGUGUAACGGAGCUAUCAUUCUGUAACGGUCAAAUGUUUUCUUUUAUGUACUUACCUUUAUUAUGGGCAUUAUUAGUGUUAUUUUUGUUUGGUUUUGGUUUAAUAUUUUUAGAGUACAUACAAGUUAUUGUAACUUGAUAGAUAUUGAUGAGAAAUGUAACCUGAUUGAUAUUGUUUUGACAAGGUAAUAUGCCAAAUACCAUUGGCCAAAUGCA